UUUCCGUAGGUGAACCUGCGGAAGGAUCAUUGACGAAGGCGAGAAUUGUAAAAAGAUUCUCGUUUGAUCAACCACAUUCCAAAAGUGCGAGUAUAGUAAAAUGGGGAGACCCAUUUACGAUGUAUGUAUUAAUAAAACAAAACUUUCAACAACGGAUCUCUUGGCUCUUGCAUCGAUGAAGAACGCAGCGAAUUGCGACAAGUAGUGUGAAUUGCAGAAUUCCGUGAAUCAUCGAGUCUUUGAACGCAUAUUGCACCUUUUGGUAUUCCGAAAGGUAUGCCUGUUUGAGGGUCAUUGAAUCAAUCGGUACGCGAAUACUUUUUGUGUAUCGGAAUGUUGAGCUUUUCGUAAUAUUUAUUAUGAUUGCUAGAAAUUCGAAGCACUGGUCUCAGCCUAAUAUAGAGACGCGUUUACGGUGGCUUGCUACCAAUUUUUCGCAACUUUUAGGUCGAAUUCCAAGCUGGUUUGGGCAUUUUCUCGAGGAAAGAAAAGGCGCAUACAAUUUAAUUUUUAUCAUGACCUCAAAUCAAGCAAGAAUACCCGCUGAACUUAA
rnacentral:rRNA from 1 species